UGGGCUGAGGAUAGAUGACAGAUCUGGGACAGACAAGGAUACGUCCUGGAUAUGAUAGGUCUGGAUGAGAUUGAGACACGCAGGAUCGCGGACGUGUUUGGGAUAGGUCGUGGACGCCAUAGGAGAGCGAGGACGCGCCAGGAUGCAUCCAGGAUGAAUGUCGUGUCCGGAUCCUAUCCCGCAGUUCCAUCAGGGAGAUGCUGACGGUAGUGACUGGGCCCCUGGCGAUACCUAGUUAGGCCACCCACCUUAGUCCGCUACACUCUGUUCUGCAACAAUUUGCUGAACUACUCUAGAAAAAAAUCAACAGCCCCGUUUGUUUUAACAGAGAGAAAAUAACAGACAGAAAAGAUACCUAGCAGGAAGGACCGGAAGGACCACCGGGGCCACCCCCCUCAGUGUGCGAAAGACACGUCAUUUCAACGAAUAGUUGGACCCCGAGGCAGAGGUGAGCAUAACGGGCCGUCCCGCCAGUCACAGGAUGGUCUACAAAUUGACAAGUGCGCGUGUGACGCAGGUAUAGGCGCUGAUAGGCGGCGAGAGAGCGUCUUACUCUCACUGUCUGUUUUCGGACAAUCGCGGGACUGGUCGACCGCCCGGUCGGUGCUCACAUCUGCCCUAAGGCAGCGCGGCGACACGGGCAGGACACUCACAGGACAAAACUGGCGACAAGAGCGAUAAGCACGGCACGUCCUUGUCCGGUCCGGCAGCCCCGUCCCCCCGGGCACCGACGGGCACCCCGGACAGCUAUAAUGCAUCCGGCUCGGCGCGGCGGGCGACCCACCCGCACAGCAGUGUAAGGCCGAAAUGCCAAUGCAGUUCGAAAAAUCUCAGACUAAAAGUUUAUUUCUAAUCUGUCGCUAUGGCUA